rnacentral:rRNA from 1 species
AACGAACGCUGGCGGCAGGCUUAACACAUGCCAGUCGAACGCCCCGCAAGGGGAGUGGCAGACGGGUGAGUAACGCGUGGGAACAUACCCUUUCCUGCGGAAUAGCUCCGGGAAACUGGAAUUAAUACCGCAUACGCCCUACGGGGGAAAGAUUUAUCGGGGAAGGAUUGGCCCGCGUUGGAUUAGCUAGUUGGUGGGGUAAAGGCUUACCAAGGCGACGAUCCAUAGCUGGUCUGAGAGGAUGAUCAGCCACAUUGGGACUGAGACACGGCCCAAACUCCUACGGGAGGCAGCAGUGGGGAAUAUUGGACAAUGGGCGCAAGCCUGAUCCAGCCAUGCCGCGUGAGUGAUGAAGGCCUUAGGGUUGUAAAGCUCUUUCACCGAUGAAGAUAAUGACGGUAGUCGGAGAAGAAGCCCCGGCUAACUUCGUG